CGCGAAUCGCCCUUCGGGGUGCGCAGGCGCGAAAACUUUACAAUGCGGGAAACCGUGAUAAGGGGACACCGAGUGCCAGCAUCAUAUGCUGGCUGUCCAGGUGUGUAAAAUACACCUGUUAGCAAGGGCCGGGCAAGACCGGUGCCAGCCGCCGCGGUAACACCGGCGGCCCGAGUGGUGAUCGUGAUUAUUGGGUCUAAAGGGUCCGUAGCCGGUUUGGUCAGUCCUCCGGGAAAUCUGACGGCUUAACCGUUAGGCUUUCGGGGGAUACUGCCAGGCUUGGAACCGGGAGAGGUAAGAGGUACUACAGGGGUAGGAGUGAAAUCUUGUAAUCCCUGUGAGACCACCUGUGGCGAAGGCGUCUUACCAGAACGGGUUCGACGGUGAGGGACGAAAGCUGGGGGCACGAACCGGAUUAGAUACCCGGGUAGUCCCAGCCGUAAACGAUGCUCGCUAGGUGUCAGGCAUGGCGCGACCGUGUCUGGUGCCGCAGGGAAGCCGUGAAGCGAGCCACCUGGGAAGUACGGCCGCAAGGCUGAAACUUAAAGGAAUUGGCGGGGGAGCAC
rnacentral:rRNA from 1 species